UACGUAGGGGGCUAGCGUUGUCCGGAAUCAUUGGGCGUAAAGCGCGUGUAGGCGGCCAGAUAAGUCCGCUGUGAAAUCUCGAGGCUCAACUUCGAGCUGUCGGUGGAAACUGUCUGGCUAGAGUCCGGAAGAGGAGAAUGGAAUUCCUGGUGUAGCGGUGAAAUGCGCAGAUAUCAGGAAGAACACCCGUGGCGAAGGCGGUUCUCUGGGACGGUACUGACGCUGAGACGCGAAAGCGUGGGGAGCGAACAGG
rnacentral:rRNA from 1 species